AUUGAUGAAAACAUCGAUGCAUCGAUGUUUUUGAAAUUUUCUAAAUCAUCGAUGUUUUUUUUCAACCAUCGAUGUUUCUGUGCCGUAACUAUUAAGAAAAAGGGCAAAGGAAAGUAAUAGAACAUUCAAUUGGUGCAGGCGACGGCGCUAAGAUGGACAAAUUCUUGAUGCAAUAAACAAAGGAAAACUGUGACGCUCCGUCUCCGAAGAGGAGAAGAGAAACAUCUAGUGUUUGGCAGCACUUUAAAAAGGCAGCGGACAAGGCAAAGGCAAUUUGUAACCACUGCGGAAAAACUUUGAAAACAGCAGGCAAUACCACUAACUUGAUGGAUCACCUCAAGCACAUCCAUCCAAAUUAUAAAGAGGAGGAGAAUACCCUAGAUUACCCAAAGUUGGAUGUGUUCCUGCACCGUAGUGUGGAGUAUGCGCCAGAUUCGCAACACAAGAAAAUGCUGGAUAAAUACGUCAUGCUUAUGAUAGCCAAAGACGUACAACCUUUUAGCAUGGUUGCUGACGAAGGCUUUCUGGACCUUAUGAAAAAGAUGGACCCGAAAUACAAACUGCCGAGCCGCAAUUACUUCCGCGACGUAAUGCUCCCCAAGUUGUACGACGAACUAAAAGAACACCUUAAAAGCGAACUUAACGAGGUCAAUUACGUGCCAAUCACAACAGACGGAUGGACUUCCCUGGCGAAUGAAGCAUAUGUAUAUAACCGUAACUUGCCAUUUCGUAAACAAAAACUUUGAGCUGAUUACAGCAGUUUUGUCAGCAGCAACACUUGCAACGCCCACUAACUUUAAAAAUUUCUCCUGGCUAAACUAGCGCGUCCCCAAAAUAAUUUUUACAUCAAAAUUCAUGAUUCAUCGCCCUCUAAAUAUGGAUUUUUGUUAAUUAGUCGGGUCGUUCCAGCCCGACUAUUUAAAAAUUACCAAAAUUUAAUUUUAAUUUUUUAAAACAUCGAUGUUUCAUCGAUGUUUUGGGUGAAAAACAUCGAAAACAUCGAUGUCUCAAUACAUCGAUGUUUUGACACCUCUAUUACUCAGUCUGAUAUUAUUCGCUUUAGUAAGGGUAUAGGUGCAGUGGCACGCGCCACCAGCGAAGAAAAAACAAAAGAAAUCAUGUAAAGGGGGUAGAGGAAGACUUGUUGCAUUCUGUUUGAGUUAUUGAAAGGGAAGCAAGCCAUUUAAAUUGUGCGCAGCAGAUUUACUUUUUUCGUUCCUUAAAGUGAAAAAAAAGUCAGGCAAAUUUUGAAGGUGUUUUAUUGGUUCCGUUAGCCGAAAGUGAAUGAUAAAAUAAAAAUCCCCGAUAGGGUUAUACACAGCUCUAAAAGGUAAAUAUACAAAUAAACAAGUAAAACGCAUUUUUUAACCAUAUGCCGCGUACAUUUUUUCAGGAGAGUUUCCUAAGGAUUCGGAGGACCCGAACAAAGGUUUAAGGAAGGCGAUGACCAAUGUUAAAAGCAAAUUAACGUAACAUAAAACUAAGCUUACUAACAAUAAUUGUCCUAUAACAGAAACCCCAAAUAACACAAUUUAGUUAAAAUGAUUUUAAUAGUAAAUAAAAAUGUAUGUAUUAUAAA